UUCUAGGUCCUUUGGGCUAACAGAUUCUGGUGCAGUAGAAAUAGGCUCUCAAAGUCGCUGUUACAAAUCCUGCUGCUAUUGGCCACCAAAUCAACAGAGGAGACCGGUUCAAAUAGUUCUAGGUGAAUGACAGUGAAAAAUGGCUCAUGGGAAAGGGGGCAGCGGGACAUGGUGGCACCUCAGAUGUUGUGACCUUCUAUUCAAUGUUGUUGAUAGGCUUCAUUGGUAUGUACAAAGUGGUGAUACGGUAAGUUUUUAUUCUUUAUGCUUUAUUUGGGUUCUGCCAAUACACUACGUGCCACUAACUUUUUUUGUUUAGUCAAUACAUAAUUGGUACUAUUUUAAUGAAGCUGAUCGCAGUAAUCCAUGUAUGCGGUUUUGAUUUGUUACCAUAAGUUUGUAGUUUGAUCAUCCGAUAACUCAGCUCCAUUUUCAUGGUAAUAUUUAGUUUUCCCUGUCUUUGCUCUGUUGCCACUCCUGAUUUCUUUUCCGUCUCAGAGAAGUCGAAAUGCCUCAAGUCUUGUAGCAAUUGUAUCAUACACACGUUCUACUGAAGUGUUUAGACUCAAUAUUGUUCAGUUUGUUCAAGUCAUUAAUUAACUUCUGUGAAGAACUGUAAAUUCUUGUGGCUUAUUAGAAUAAAAACACGGGAUUAAAGUCUCAUAAUAUAACAAUUGCGAUGGUUUUCAAACACGGGGGCUUGUUCUUUGAUGUCAAUUUAUCAUUUUCUCUUACCAGAAUGAUCAAGUUUCAGUUAAUUUCAUUAUUGCUUUACCAUUUGCAUUAAUUUGUGCUCAUCUGUACAACGUGGUAUCCUUAGCAGAUUGUAGACUUUUGCUGUGGUUCUAAUGACUUCAGCUGUCUGAUGAUAUCGAAACUUGAGCAGAUGGGGAAAAUCUGCUCAUUUAAAAACUAUGAUAUCUUCCAGGCUAAGAAUGAUUUCUGUUUUGAGAAAAGAGAUUGGUUUAGCAUCAAUGUUAAGAAUUGCCCAACGGUUCUCAACUGACUGGAACCGGAAGCCUCCCCCACUAUACCUUUGGAGCCGCCCUGACUGGACGGCCCGGCACGCUAAAAUAGUUCUGAGGCAUGGCCACAUCAAGAGGCAAGAUGCAAUGCGUGUAACAGGAUAUCAUGUAAAGAACUACCUCAUGGAGGAUAAUCAUGACUGUUAUCAGCACUGCUCUGGCUUACAUGCACCUGAUGAUCUCUGCACCAUAUUGGAUGGUAUUCCGGAAGAUAAUGGCGAUGCUAUGCCUGAUUGUGCAAGAGACAAUGAUGAGCUUUUUCCUCCAAGAAAUUAAAUUGGCAUGAUGGGUUACCUUGUGAAGCCAAGGAAAUGAGCAUGGAUAUGAAAUUAUCAACUCCGUAGUUUGUGUCUGCACUAAUAUAUGCUCAAAAUGCUUUAUGGGUGUUAAAAACAAUGAUCUGAGAAUUUUAUGACUUGGUCGUGUAA